rnacentral:lncRNA from 1 species
GAAAGGAAAGAACAAUAUUGAUGACAUGAAAACUACUGCUGCCCUAUUUUGUGCUCCUUUCCUUCAUCUCCUAAAUGAAGAUGAGAACUCUCUGGAGGACUGUGAGGGGAAAUCCUUUAGUGAUUAAAAGCUGCUCAGGCACUGUACUAGUGAAGGCCAUAUAAACUGAUAUAGACAAAGCUCCUAGUAAGAGGGAGACACUAAAUUAGGGUGAAUAAGGGAGUGUGCCAAACUUUAACCCUUCCUCAAGACCGUAGUUUCCCCCUGCAAGAGGAUUUUCCCUGAAAUGUAUUUGUUCCUUUCUUUUUCCUCUUGUGGUGUAACAUCUCUUCCUGCUUCUAAUCCCUGAACAUCAAGAUACUAUCUACUUCCUAAUGAAAGGGCAGAGCAAUAAGGCCCUUUUUAAAAGCUCAAAUCAAGCUAUAAAUUAUAUGUUAUUUUCCUUUUUCCCUGAAAUACUGGUGGAAAUGUCUGUGGUGAUUUUUUUACUGAAAGGAAUGCUUUGAAAAUACUAUCAACCAAGACAGAUCCAGAUGCAAAUUCCAUCCCUUAUCUCCUCCAUCUCCUGUGUGUUUGACUGGCAGGCUACUGAGUGAAGCUUCCACAGAGCCCAGCCACGAUGGACAGUCCCACUGCACAAGCAGCAGCUGUUGGCUGCCAGCUGAGAAGCCAGCAGUUAGAUAUGGCAACAAGUGGAGCUCCCAGUGAUCUUGGCUUCCAGCUCUGUCAAAUAAGCCUCCAUCCUAGCUCUCCUGAACCUGUUACCUGUAUCACAACAACUGAAACACAAAUUGGAGUUACCUACACAAGAGUAGGUGCUGAACAGAACACAAAUCUCAACACACUGCCUGUUAUUGAACCAUCAUUUUCUUAUUCCUGUUUUCACAGUUUCUACCAUCAUGUUUUCUGCUUACAGUCUGUUUCCUGCCCUGAGAGAUCAAAUUAAGAAUCGCCAAGAGUGGAAUCUUGUGAAUAUUUCCUUUUUAAAGCUGUUUAUACUUAUUUUACAGUAGAAUGAAAGGAAAAGACAUGGUCAAUCAAAGCUUUUCUUGAAUUCUGGAAGGACAGAGUACCACUACAUAGGCACUGAAGUACUUUCCUCCAAGAAAUAGUGUGGUGUUCCUUUUUAGUGUGUGGUGUUCCUUUUUUUUUUUCCUUUUUUUUUUUUUUUUUAAUUUUUUUUAUUUGGGAUGAAUGAUGUGAUUUUCAUAUUUCCUUUGCUAAUAGUAGGCUCUGUAUAUGAAUAAUUCUAGAUUGCUUAAAAUAUUUCCAACAGAGUACAAUGUGUUAUUCAAAUUAUAACAGAUCCUUGACUUCCCAAAAUUAUUAUAUAACAUCAAUGGUAUGUACCAUGUACACCUUACAAAAUCUUUCAUAACUUCUCUGUCUUUCACUUUUUGUUAGAAAAUAUGAUCACGGUUCUUUUUUUCUUUGCUAUCUGGGGAAUGCUGCCCUGUAAUAUUCUUACCCAUGCAGCCAUUAUAAUAGAAAGAGC